rnacentral:rRNA from 1 species
AGCAUGUGGUUUAAUUCGAUGAUACGCGAGGAACCUUACCUGGGCUUGAAAGUUAGUGACCGCUCCUGAAAGGGAGCUUUCCUUCGGGACACGAAACUAGGUGCUGCAUGGCUGUCGUCAGCUCGUGCCGUGAGGUGUCGGAUUAAGUUCCAUAACGAGCGCAACCCCUAUCUUUAGUUGCCAGCGAGUAAUGUCGGGGACUCUAAAGAAACUGCCCGUGUAAGCGGUGAGGAAGGUGGGGAUGACGUCAAGUCAUCACGCCCCUUACGUCCAGGGCGACACACGUGCUACAAUGGUAGGGACAGUGAGUUGCAAGCCAGCAAUGGUGAGCUAAUCUAUAAACCCUAUCUCAGUUCGGAUCUAGGUCUGCAACCCGACCUCGUGAAGCUGGAAUCGCUAGUAAUCGGAUAUCAGCCAUGAUCCGGUGAAUACGUUCCCGGGCCUUGUACACAC